UUACGGCCAUAUCACGUUGAAACACUGGUUUCUGUACGAUCACAAAAGUUAAGAAACGUCGGGCCUGGUCAGUACCUAGAUGGGUGACCGCUUGGGAAUACCAUGUGCU